AUUGAACGCUGGCGGCAUGCCUUACACAUGCAAGUCGAACGGCAGCACGGGUGCUUGCCCCUGGUGGCGAGUGGCGAACGGGUGAGUAAUACAUCGGAACAUGUCCUGUAGUGGGGGAUAGCCCGGCGAAAGCCGGAUUAAUACCGCAUACGAUCUACGGAUGAAAGCGGGGGACCUUCGGGCCUCGCGCUAUAUGGUUGGCCGAUGGCUGAUUAGCUAGUUGGUGGGGUAAAGGCCUACCAAGGCGACGAUCAGUAGCUGGUCUGAGAGGACGACCAGCCACACUGGGACUGAGACACGGCCCAGACUCCUACGGGAGGCAGCAGUGGGGAAUUUUGGACAAUGGGCGAAAGCCUGAUCCAGCAAUGCCGCGUGUGUGAAGAAGGCCUUCGGGUUGUAAAGCACUUUUGUCCGGAAAGAAAUCCUUGGCCCUAAUACGGUCGGGGGAUGACGGUACCGGAAGAAUAAGCACCGGCUAACUACGUG
rnacentral:rRNA from 1 species